rnacentral:rRNA from 1 species
GUAAUGGCGAANGAACAGGGAUAAGCUCAGCUUGGAAAUUGGGNNUCUGGGUUGAAUUGUAGUCUUUCGAUGGCAUUGCCAGCGGAGGCGCAGAUGUAAGCCUCUUGGAAAAGAGCAUCAAUGAGGGUGAGAGUCCCGUUUGUCAUCUGCAGUCCUCUGUUUACGGUGUGCUUUCUAAGAGUCACGUUCCUUGGGACUGGAGCGCAAAUUGGGUGGUAAAUUUCAUCUAAAGCUAAAUAUUGGUUCGAGACCGAUAGCAAACAAGUACCAUGAGGGAAAGGUGAAAAGGACUUUGAAAAGAGAGUUAAAAGUGCCUGAAAUUGCUGAAAGGGAAGCGAAUGGAACCAGUCUUCUUGGUGAGAUUGUUGUGCGCUAUUGUGAUUGCUUUCUGCUUCAACGCAAGUGUUGCAGUGGGUUUUGAGCAUGACGCGCACUUUGUUUCUCACCUCGUGUGUCAACGUCGGUUCAGAUUUGAGGAAAACUCUAGGGACAUGGGUAAUUGCUCGCGAGUGAUUGAAUGUGCCUGGUAGAACUCAUGUCUAAACUGAUUUCCGCAUGUCUGGUCGCAGUGUUCUCAUUACCUGCGUCUGGGUUCGUGGCUUGUAGCUUCUGUUACUCGUCGCGGGCUCUGGGCCUGGUCGUGGAGCAUCUCCCUGACAUUAGUACGAUGACAAAAUGGUUUCAUUCGACCCGUCUUGAAACACGGACCAAGGAGUCUAACAUAUGUGCAAGUUCACGGGUGUUAAACCUGAUUGCGCAAUGAAAGUGACUGCUGGGAUAUUUGCACCAGCCACCGACCAAUCAAUUGUGANAGGUUUGAGUAUGAGNNUAUCUGUUANGACCCGAAA